rnacentral:tRNA from 1 species
ACUUUAUAGCUCAGUUGCUAGAGCAGGGCACUUGUAAUGCCAGGGUAGUGGGUUCGAUUCUCUCCAUAUGUA